CAUAACCCCAGCUUCCGACAACGCAUCGACACCAUCUUCUUCCUCUCUUUGUGCCCCACAGGCUUGUAUACUUAGCUCACACAUGCAACAAAGACAAAGGAGAGCGACAAUAGCUUUGGGUUCCUCGGCGGUGUUUCUGCAAUUUUCUGGUGACCGUCGACAACGUAUGAGUUCGCCGACGCCCGCGACUUUCACAGCUCUUUUGGGUCACUUGUUACACAAAGGAAAUCAUUGCUUCGAGCUCCAUGCUUAUGCAAUUUGGUGAAGAGGUGGAAAGGAAGGAUUACUUGUAACUGAUGUGUUUUUCGUUGGAACUUGGAAGCAGACUUAAGUUGAGGAUUCUGCUUUGAUCUAUCUGACCUUGAAGUUACCCGAGGAGCUGAAGGCUCGUGGUGUUGGGAGUUCACGAGAAAAGUCUCGGAUUCCAGGUAGGGGACCCGGAACUCCCUUGAUGAAUGAUAUUUGUUUUAUAAAAUGUUUAUGCAUAUAUGAUAUUGCAUGAUCCGGUUAUCCGAUAAAAAUAUGGUAACCGGUGUUAUGAGAUAUUGAUGGCUUGAGAGUGAGAGGAGCAUAGCGACUACCUUGGGUUCGAUCCCCUAAACCUCCGAAGGGGCCUUUAUGGACGGAAGAGUGUCUUACAUCCCUUGUGGAGUGGCAUUGCUUCUAGGCGAUAGAGCGUUUGUGGACACUCGCUACACUUACCUGUUGUACACAUAUAUAAUGAGGUAAGUUGGGUAGUGGGUCUAAAAAUGACCGGUCAUCAGGUACAGUUUUAUGGCGCCAUAUUUAUUUGAUCAUAAAAAUGUUUUUGAAAGUUUGUCGUUCAUUAAAUAUUUGGAUUCAAUCUUGUUUUUAUUUUGGGCCCUAUGAAACUAUUUCUUUAUUUGUUUUCAAGAGUUCCUUGAGCAGCAAGGACGAAAGCUCACCCCUACAACAGUUUGUGGAUGCAGGUAUUGUGCACUGGGACGGGAUAGUGGCGAGGAGUUAGGUGUGCAUAUUUAUGAUUGGUAACUUGGUUUCUAUGUUGUUCCCCUUUAUUUUUAUAUUUGAGUUUCAUGUAUCAAAUUCUAUCUUGUUGGUCUUGUUCUGUUCUGCUUCGUAAUUUUAUUUCUUUAAGUUUAUUUAUUAUUGGUCAUUCCGUAAAUCAAAUUUUAGGCGAAUGGAAAAGCCCAAUCCUAUUAUGAGUUCGUUUUAUGAUACUCUAAUUGAUAAUUUGUAUUCCUUUGAGUUCAUGAUUUCAUAAUCAUUCCUUGUAUCCAAGUUUUUGGUGAAUUAAAGUACUUUGAGAAAAAUAAAGAUUUUACGCCUCAAAAUAUAAUCUUACGCUUCUGUUGUCUUUUUCUUAAAUGUUUUCUUAUAUUAACUGCCUUGUAUUUCUCCUUUUGAGACUCUGUGGCACUGUGACGUGCCUAAAUUGAGGAGGUGCAGUUUAGGACGUUACAGUAAGAACGAUUAAUACCCGUUUUACCCUGU